UCAGCCAUGAAUAAGUUUCCCAAGUAGCGUCUGCCGCCUCUUGCCCGUGCCAGCAAACGAGCAACUCAGCUCUUGCCUUGUUCCCCGCCUUGACCAUGCGACGGCUGAGGACUUCCUUUGGUUCUAGCCGUAGAACCCCUUGGUCAUCUACUGGCUGUAGUGAAGAUCUAACUUGUAUGCUACCUCCCCAACACGUUGCAGCACUUGGAAUGGACCAAAGAACCGUGGUGCAAGCUUGAGGUUGCACCGAUGAGCUACAGUGGUUUGCCGAUACGGUUGUAAGCGCAGGGAAAUCCAACCUCACUGUGCGUGCUUGGACUUCACCCUGCUGUUGUUGAUGAAACUGCUGCUAGUGCGGAAACUGUUGUUGUUGAUGGAAUUAUUGUUGCUGAAACUGUUGUUGCUGUUGAAACUGCUGCUGUUGCUGCUGCUGUAAAUGCAAGUUUUCCUGGUCAUUUCCCCUGGUACACUCGAGAAAGACUCCCCAGAAUUCGAGCUGGGAUUUCCUAUUUUCAUCCCCGCUGUGAGGAUAGCUAGUUGCUGCAAAAUAGACUCAUUUUGCUUCUUUAAUGUUGCCAUAUCUAUAUCUAAAUGGGACAUUCUUGAAUCUGUGGACUUUUUAA